AUAAUAGUUGGGGUUGGGUCCAGUCACCCCAUGACCCCGAAAGAGACUGGACAUUAAAAAAAAAUGGAGGGAUAGGGGGACUUUUUUACAUAUUGUGCAUCAUCUUGGACUCUUACGAUCUCAGAUAACACAAGAAGGACCACAGACAGAUCAAAUGUCUUAAAAAUGAAUAGAAUACACCUAUAGUCAUUGUAGUUCAAGUUAGUUGGGCAAAGUAUUAACCUCUAUUUUAAUGUGUUUUUACAGUUGCAUUUGUUGCUUUCUCGUGCAAUUCUGAAAAACCACAACUGGAAGACUUGAUAGAAGACAGAGCUCAAAAUCUUAUCAAGGACAGCCAAGGAGGAGCUGUCUCUGCAUGCGAUGCCAAACCAUUUGUUUUGUCACCAAUAACUGGACCUGAUGACAUCAAGCAAACUAAUGUCACCAUGAUGAUCAACAUGGAAUAUGAGCAUCAAAGAGACUCCUAAAAAACGGUUUCAUUCCAAGAAAAUCCCUGGUGAAAGUGACGUACAUUGAUGACAGUUCACCCAUGCAUCAGCCACAGCUAUGAAGGGGACAACAAUGAGAGGGAGUUACUGGAAAAUCUUUCACUCAGUAACUUUGGGGACAAUGUGCACUUCUUGGAUGUCCUAGGACUAAAAUUCAAAACCCUGAAAGACAUUUGUCAAUAUAAUUCAACCAAAAAAUGUACUACUGAAAUGUUAAUUUCUGUCUAAGUAAGUCACUCCUCCUGAAUAUAGUAAUAGACUGUUUUUGUUUAAAAAAAACAAAAACAUCUGCGUCAGUAGUUGAAGUUGAAAUCCGCUUUUUUUUUUUAUUUCUGGUUUCUGUAAAAUCAAGUGCUGAUCGACCAGGGCGGAUCAAUCCAAAAUAUCUAUAGUAUUGAUCUUUAGUUGGUAUCGGAUUGAUACUGAGCCGCAGAUAUUGAUAUUUCCGCUCCUGUUUAAAACUAUACUGUAUCAGUAAAAAGGACCCAGCUACGUCACUGUCUUACCACUACUUGUUUCUUUUAGUUUGUUGACAGUUUUACAUUCACUUUUUUACUUUUUAUUUAAUUUCAAGAAGAUUUUAUUUUAAUAAGCUGUUUUCCAUUUAACUAAAAAUAUUGUCAAUACUUUAUCAAGUAAUUAAAAAAGGAAAACUUACAAAAAAAUAAAAAACAUUCACUGUGAUAAAAAGCUAUUUUGGGGUUUUAAGGUUCAUGUCCGAUCCUCCGCAUUUACAAAAUUAUUACUUUGGCGAUAUUGACCAGGAUCAGAUCAGUCUCUGAUCAAUACCCAAAUGCUCAGUAAUGAACAGCCCUGGUAAAUUCUAUUUUUUACAUUUAAAUGCUUCAAUGUCAAAUCAGUAAAAUAAAGUUUGUAAAAUUUGUUUCUGACACAUAAAAUUCAAUUGUAGACUGAAGAAUGUCAUUUAUAGAAUGUCAUUUUAGCAUGACGCUCAAGUUAUCCUUCGGGACACAAAGAUUAUUAAUAGCUUAAGUUGAUUUCUAUGUCUUAACCCAUUGUUGUUGUUUUUUUUUCUCUAACACAGAGAGGUAUGCUGAUGUUUUAAAAGGAAAUGUCUUAAAAGUCCUUUUCGCAAGUUUUCACAAAUCAGAAAUGUUUCAUUGAAUACCCAUUUGCUGCAAAAGAUCUGCAGUCAUUUAAACUUUCUUUAUACACUUGAUUUUGUGUGGGACCCAUUUAAAUGUGUUGUAGAUUUUCCCUUCUAGGUGAAAGCUAAAAGCGUAAUGCCAACUUCUGCUUCAUCUGACUUUAAAGGUGUGGCAGAUAAGGAAAAAAAAAUUAAACAAAAGUAACUCCCAAAAACUGGUUCUUGAUAUAUUAAAUAUUAAUCCAUCGCAUAUGCAACUUUAUUUGCAGCAUCCUCUUUUCAUUAUCUAGUAGGCUGGUGUAUUUCAUGUAAGCGGCUGGUUGGCUCAGUGGACUGGGAGUAGGGCUGCCUCGCAGGAAACCUGAGUUCAGUCCCCAGGGCGUGCAUUGAGCUUAAUCAAGACCCUUGACGCUACUGCCUAACUUCGUACCCUUGUGCCUUUUGAAUACAGGGUUGCAUCAGGAAGGGCAUCUAAAAGGGCAGCUAAAACUCUCUGCCAAAUCACUGAUGUGGAGCACUGGGUGACCCUGAAUGGGAUGAGCCGAAAGGUGAACAAGAACUGCUGUAUUCUAUGCAGAGCGGGUUUGGUGUAUGGGAACAACUGUAACAAUAAAUCAAUUUUUUUGUAGGAUUUAUGGUUUUGUCUGUUAAAAGCAGAGUUCUUCUGUUCUGUUUUCUCACUGGCUUGUUUCUCUGCAUAAAGAAAGUGAAAAUGUUUAGGCUUGCUAACUUAGCUAUCUUAGAAAUUUCAAUUAUGCAGACGGAGCAGGUGCUUUAAGAAGGUAGCAGAUGUAUUUCAGACGUAUAAAUGAGGCGAGCAACUUGGCAUACACCAAGAGAGUCAUAGACGGAUGUGGUAAACAAUGUGUAAAGAACCCUCCAGCCAGGAUGAAAAUCCAGGAGGUUGUAAAAGAAUAGU